GAUGAAGAACGUAGCGAAAUGCGAUAAGUAAUGUGAAUUGCAGAAUUCAGUGAAUCAUCGAAUCUUUGAACGCACAUUGCGCCCGCCAGUAUUCUGGCGGGCAUACCUGUUCGAGCGUCAUUUCAACCAUCAAGCCCCAGGCUUGUGUUGGAGCCCUGCGGCUGCCGCAGCCUCCCAAAACCAGUGGCGGGCUCGCUAUCACACCGAGUGCAGUAGUUUACUCUUCGCUCAGGGCGUGUGGCGGGUGCUAGCCGUGAAACCCCCAACUUCUCAAGGUUGACCUCGGAUCAGGUAGGAAUACCCGCUGAACUUAAGCAUAUCAAUAAGCGGAGGA
rnacentral:misc_RNA from 1 species